UUUUAAGGGGUUAAAUUAAAUUUAAUAUUUACAUGUAAAUGUUAGUAUGAAUAAAGAUUGAUAUUUAAAUAAUGUGAUAAUUAGGGGUUAUUCGCAGUAAAAAUUUUUAAAUAUUAAUGAAAGUUAGAUUUGGGGAAAAUUUAUAGUAUUAACAAAAUUUGUGCCAGCAGUUGCGGUUAUACAAAUAGUACAAUUUAAUUAGAUUUAGUAUUAAUAUGUAAAUGAAUUAAUAAAUUUUAAGGGGGAAUUUAUUAGGUGAAAUUUUAAAUUUUAGGGGGGUUUAUUUUUGCUUAUUAAUUAAGAAAUUUAUUUUAAGACUAGGAUUAGAUACCCUAUUAUUAUAAAUAUAAAAUUAUACUAGAUUAGUAAUAGUUAAGUUCUUGAAAAUUAAAGAUUUUGGCGGUUUUUUAGUCUAUUCAGAGGAACCUGUUCUAUAAUCGAUAAUCCACGAUUUUAAAAACUUUUUUUAUAGUUUGUAUAUCGUCGUAGUUAGAAAAUUUCAAAAGAAUUAUUAAUUUUCAAGAAUUAUUUGUUAAAAGAAAUCAGAUCAAGGUAUAGCUUAUAAAAAAGAAGAAAUGGGUUACAUUAAUUUUAAUUUUGAAUUAUUUAUUUUGAAAAAAUAUGAAUUUGGAUUUGAAUGUAAUUUUAUUUAGAUAGAUAAAAUGAUUAGAGCUCUAAAAUAUGCACAUAUCGCCCGUCGCUUUCAUUUUAAGGUGAAAUAAGUCGUAACAAAGUAGGUUUACUGGAAAGUGGGUCUGGAAAG
rnacentral:ncRNA from 1 species